rnacentral:rRNA from 1 species
UACGUAGGGGGCGAGCGUUGUCCGGAUUUAUUGGGCGUAAAGAGCUCGUAGGCGGUUCGGUAAGUCGGAUGUGAAAUCUCCACGCUCAACGUGGAGGGGCCAUUCGAUACUGCCGUGACUCGAGUCCGGUAGGGGAGUGUGGAAUUCCCGGUGUAGCAGUGAAAUGCGUAGAUAUCGGGAGGAAUACCGAUGGCGAAGGCAGGUCUCUGGGCUGACACUGACGCUCAUGCACGAAAGCGUGGGGAGCAAACAGG